UACGUAGGGGGGCAAGCGUUGUCCGGAAUCAUUGGGCGUAAAGAGCGCGUAGGCGGCCCGAUAAGUCCGCUGUGAAAGUCAAGGGGCUUAACCCUUGAAUGCCGGUGGAAACUGUCGGGCUAGAGUCCGGAAGAGGCGAGUGGAAUUCCUGGUGUAGCGGUGAAAUGCGCAGAUAUCAGGAGGAACACCGAUGGCGAAGGCAGCUCGCUGGGACGGUAUUGACGCUGAGACGCGAAAGCGUGGGGAGCAAACAGG
rnacentral:rRNA from 1 species